rnacentral:rRNA from 1 species
UACGGAGGGUGCAAGCGUUAUCCGGAUUCACUGGGUUUAAAGGGUGCGUAGGUGGGCAGGUAAGUCAGCGGUGAAAUCCCCGAGCUUAACUUGGGAACUGCCAUUGAUACUAUCUGUCUUGAAUACCUUGGAGGUGAGCGGAAUAUGUCAUGUAGCGGUGAAAUGCUUAGAUAUGACAUAGAACACCAAUUGCGAAGGCAGCUUACUAGAGGAAUAUUGACACUGAGGCACGAAAGCGUGGGGAGCAAACAGG